rnacentral:rRNA from 1 species
GAUGAACGCUGGCGGCGUGCCUAAUACAUGCAAGUCGAGCGAACAGAUGAGGAGCUUGCUCCUCUGACGUUAGCGGCGGACGGGUGAGUAACACGUGGAUAACCUACCUAUAAGACUGGGAUAACUUCGGGAAACCUGAGCUAAUACCGGAUAAUAUAUUGAACCGCAUGGUUCAAUAGUGAAAGACGGUUUUGCUGUCACUUAUAGAUGGAUCCGCGCCGCAUUAGCUAGUUGGUAAGGUAACGGCUUACCAAGGCAACGAUGCGUAGCCGACCUGAGAGGGUGAUCGGCCACACUGGAACUGAGACACGGUCCAGACUCCUACGGGAGGCAGCAGUAGGGAAUCUUCCGCAAUGGGCGAAAGCCUGACGGAGCAACGCCGCGUGAGUGAUGAAGGUCUUCGGAUCGUAAAGCUCUGUUAUUAGGGAAGAACAAAUGUGUAAGUAACUAUGCACGUCUUGACGGUACCUAAUCAGAAAGCCACGGCUAACUACGUG